GUUAAUGUAGCUUAAUACAUAAAGCAAAGCACUGAAAAUGCUUAGAUGAGUAUUCGCAAAUACUCCAUAAACA
rnacentral:tRNA from 1 species